rnacentral:rRNA from 1 species
AUUGAACGCUGGCGGCAGGCCUAACACAUGCAAGUCGAGCGGAUGAGAGGAGCUUGCUCCUUGAUUCAGCGGCGGACGGGUGAGUAAUGCCUAGGAAUCUGCCUGGUAGUGGGGGAUAACGUUCCGAAAGGAACGCUAAUACCGCAUACGUCCUACGGGAGAAAGCAGGGGACCUUCGGGCCUUGCGCUAUCAGAUGAGCCUAGGUCGGAUUAGCUAGUUGGUGAGGUAAUGGCUCACCAAGGCGACGAUCCGUAACUGGUCUGAGAGGAUGCUCAGUCACACUGGAACUGGGACGCGGUCCAGACUCCUACGGGAGGCAGCAGUGGGGAAUGUUGGACAAUGGGCGAAAGCCUGAUCCAGCCAUGCCGCGUGUGUGAAGAAGGUCUUCGGGUUGUAAAGCACUUUAAGUUGGGAGGAAGGGCAGUAAGUUAAUACCUUGCUGUUUUGACGUUACCAACAGAAUAAGCACCGGCUAACUUCGUGCCAGCCGCCGCAGUAAAAC